AUUGAACGCUGGCGGCAUGCUUUACACAUGCAAGUCGAACGGCAGCGCGGGGGCAACCCUGGCGGCGAGUGGCGAACGGGUGAGUAAUAUAUCGGAACGUACCCAGAAGUGGGGAUAACGUAGCGAAAGUUACGCUAAUACCGCAUACGAUCUACGGAUGAAAGUGGGGGACCUUCGGGCCUCAUGCUUUUGGAGCGGCCGAUAUCUGAUUAGCUAGUUGGUGAGGUAAAGGCUCACCAAGGCGACGAUCAGUAGCUGGUCUGAGAGGACGACCAGCCACACUGGAACUGAGACACGGUCCAGACUCCUACGGGAGGCAGCAGUGGGGAAUUUUGGACAAUGGGGGCAACCCUGAUCCAGCAAUGCCGCGUGAGUGAAGAAGGCCUUC
rnacentral:rRNA from 1 species